GCAUUGGUGGUUCACUGGUGGAGUUCUGGCCUGCCGCCUGGGAGACCCAGGUUCAAUUCCUGGCCAGUGCC
rnacentral:tRNA from 1 species